GACGGAGGAUGCAAGUGUUAUCCGGAAUCACUGGGCGUAAAGCGUCUGUAGGUGGUUUAAAAAGUCCACUGUUAAAAAUUGAAGCUUAACUUCAAAGAUGCCGUGGAAACUUUUAAACUGAGUAUGGUAGGGGUAGAGGGAAUUUCCAGUGGAGCGGUGAAAUGCGUAGAUAUUGGAAAGACCACCAAUGGCGAAGGCACUCUACUGGGCCAUUACUGACACUGAGAGACGAUAGCUAGGGGAGCAAAUGGG
rnacentral:rRNA from 1 species